AUUUUACUAAUAUAAAUAUUAAAUAUAUUUAAUUUCCAAUUAAAAAAUGCAAGUAAAAUA
rnacentral:tRNA from 1 species